AUUGAACGCUGGCGGCAUGCCUUACACAUGCAAGUCGAACGGCAGCACGGGGGCAACCCUGGUGGCGAGUGGCGAACGGGUGAGUAAUGCAUCGGAACGUGCCCAGUAGUGGGGGAUAACCCGGCGAAAGCCGGGCUAAUACCGCAUACGACCUAAGGGUGAAAGCGGGGGACCGGAAGGCCUCGCGCUAUUGGAGCGGCCGAUGUCUGAUUAGCUAGUUGGCGGGGUAAAAGCCCACCAAGGCGACGAUCAGUAGCUGGUCUGAGAGGACGACCAGCCACACUGGGACUGAGACACGGCCCAGACUCCUACGGGAGGCAGCAGUGGGGAAUUUUGGACAAUGGGCGCAAGCCUGAUCCAGCCAUGCCGCGUGCGGGAAGAAGGCCUUCGGGUUGUAAACCGCUUUUGGCAGGAACGAAACGGCGCAAGCCAAUACCUUGCGCUAAUGACGGUACCUGCAGAAUAAGCACCGGCUAACUACGUGCCAGCCGCCGCCGUAACAC
rnacentral:rRNA from 1 species